rnacentral:sRNA from 1 species
GCUGGGCAUGGUGGUGUACGCCUGUAAUCCUAGCAGCUCGGGAGGCUGAAGCAGGAGGAUCGUCAGUUCAAAGCCAACCUCAGCAACAGUGAGGCGCUAAGCAAUUCAGUGAGACCCUGUCUCUA